UACAGAGGGUGCGAGCGUUAAUCGGAAUUACUGGGCGUAAAGCGCGCGUAGGCGGCUUUGCAAGUCGGGUGUGAAAUCCCCAGGCUUAACCUGGGAACUACAUUCGGGACUGCAUUGCUAGAGUAUGGGAGAGGGAAGUGGAAUUUCCGGUGUAGCGGUGAAAUGCGUAGAUAUCGGAAGGAACAUCAGUGGCGAAAGCGACUUCCUGGACCAAUACUGACGCUCAUGUGCGAAAGCGUGGGGAGCAAACAGG
rnacentral:rRNA from 1 species